CGAGGUGCAAGCGUUAAUCGGAAUUACUGGCGUAAGCGCGCGUAGGUGGUUCGUUAAGUUGGAUGUGAAAGCCCCGGGCUCAACCUGGGACUGCAUCCAAACUGGCGAGCUAGAGUAUGGCAGAGGGUGGUGGAAUUUCCUGUGUAGCGGUGAAAUGCGUAGAUAUAGGAAGGAACACCAGUGGCGAAGGCGACCACCUGGGCUAAUACUGACACUGAGGUGCGAAAGCGUGGGGAGCAAACAGGAUU
rnacentral:rRNA from 1 species